rnacentral:rRNA from 1 species
CAGCCGCCGCGGUAAUACGAAGGGGGCUAGCGUUGUUCGGAUUUACUGGGCGUAAAGGGUGCGUAGGCGGACUGAUAAGUCAGGGGUGAAAUCCCAAGGCUCAACCUUGGAACUGCCUUUGAUACUGUUAGUCUUGAGUUCGAGAGAGGUGAGUGGAACUGCGAGUGUAGAGGUGAAAUUCGUAGAUAUUCGCAAGAACACCAGUAGCGAAGGCGGCUCACUGGCUCGAAACUGACGCUGAAGCACGAAAGCGUGGGGAGCAAACAGGAUUAGAUACCCGGGUAGUCCCUGUCUCUUAUAC